CAAAAAGUACAUUUGUAUGUUCUUAACUUUUAACUUAAAUAAAUGUAUUAGGAAAAGUAUUUUUGAAAUUAAAGCAUUUUGCUUAACUUGAUUAUGUAUUUUACCUGUUGUACAUAGGAUUACACAUGAAAUUUUGAAAAUAAGAAUAUAAAUUCAGAAAAUUAAGUGUUACACACAUGUAAGAUAAUAGUAAGUGAUUUGUUGUAGAUGUUUUGUUAUAAGAGUGCUUGUUAAUAUAUAAAUAUAUUUGUGUCCUAUCACAUUUUUUUGUAGAGUAUUUGUAUACUUUUAUUAAAUGUUAUGAGGUUUGUGCAAGGAAUAGGAAACAUAAGUUUGUAUUUUGUGAUGAAGUGAUUUUCUUCAUAUACCAAUGAUUUUCUAUAGCUCAGAUCAAGUCUGGGGAUAGAGGUUAUUUAUUUGAUUUUUGUCAAAAAACCGAGACAUAGCGAUCCUACAUUCGGUCAGCAUUGCCUGCGGCAGCGGCGUCCACAAAUAUUCACUCUUUGGUUAAAGUUUUUGAAAUUUUAAUAACUUUCUUAAACUAUGCUUGAUUUCUACUAAACUUGGCCAGAUGCUUGUUUAUGGUCAAAAGAUAGUAUCCAGAAGUAAAUUUUGUAAAUUUUGUAAAAAUAAAAUUCCAUUUUUAUCUGUAUUUUACUUAUAAAUGGACUUUUUCUUCACUCUGUGGUUAAAGUUUUUAAAACUUUAAUAACUUUCUUAAAGUAUCUUGGGUUUGUACCAAACUUGGACAGAAGCUUGUUUAUGAUUAUUAGAUAAUAUCCAGAAGUAAAUUUUGCAAAAAUAAAAUUCCCAUUUUUUCCAUAUUUUACUUAUAAAUGGACUGAGUUUUUCUGCCAGGAAACAUAACAUUCACUCUGUGGUUAAAGUUUUUGAAAUUUUAAUAACUUUCUUAAACUUUACUAGAUGUCUAGCAAACUUGGACAGAAGUCUGAUUAUGAUCAUAAAAUAGUAUCCAGAAGUAAAUUUUGUAAAAAUUAAAUUUCAUUUUUUCCAUUUUUUACUUUUAAAUGGACUUCGAUUUUCUGCCAGGAAACAUCACAUUCACUCUGUGGUUAAAGUUUUUAAAAUUUUAAUAACUUUCUUAUUCUAUUUUGGACAUACCAAACUUGGACAUAUGCUUGUAUAUGAUCAAAAGCUAGUAUCUAGAAAGAAAUUUUGUUAAAAUUUUGUACUUGUGUAUCUGUAUUUUACUGGUAAAUGGACUGAGUUUUUCUUCCAGUUAACAUUACAUACAGUCUGCAGUUAAAGUUUUUAAAACAUUUAUUAGAUUCAUAAACUAUCCUGGAUUUUUACCAAAAGUAAACAGAAGCUUCUUAAAAUCAAGAUAGUAUCAAGAGGAAUAAUUUUUUUCCUCAUUUUUGUUGAGCCUGCGAACAGCAAAAGUAGGCGAGACACUGGGUUCCGCAGAACCCUUAUAAAUUUUCAUUUUAUCAAAGGAAUGAAUUCAAACAAGGAUUCUUUUUGAAAUGUGCAUUUAAAGGUUUAUUGUAAUAAUGAAAGGAAAAAUUGAAACAAAUACCUUUUAAUGGCUUGAACCAUGUUAUGGUAGGCUUGUUAUUGUGUAUUCAUUAUUGUGAGAUACCAAAUUUUCAGUAAUUUUGUGGCCAUAGAUGAACUGCAAAUUCAAAUGUUCAAACAAAUACAAAUUAACUUUAGGCUUGUAUGCUGAUUUUUUUAAAACCACAAAAGAACUAAAUUAUAUUUUUCUUCAAUCCAUUAAAUUUGGAAUCAAGGAAAAUGAAUGAAUCCAUAGUAUUUGUAGAGUUUUUGUCAAGUUAUAUGUACAAUUUUGUAUUGAUUAUAACAGUACACUUCAUGUCAUUGAAUUAUAAAUCACUCUUUGUUGUGUAUUAUAACACAUGUACAUCUAAUAUAACACAUGUACAUCUAAUAUAACACAUGUACAUCUAAUGCAGCUGAUUUUUAAUGAGUCAUGCUGACAGUCUCUGCUUUUUUCAACAAAUAACAUAUGUAAAACAGGGUCAUAAACUAUAGUGUUUUUUCUUAAUUGCCAUAACCAGUAGUCACUGUUUCACAAUGAUUCCUUAAACUCAAAAACGAGCAAGAGUGAUUUUAAAUUCAAUCUUAUGUGUAUUUGUAUGAAAUUGAGUGUUUUUUAUGAGGUGUAUGUAUUAUUUUAUAAGUUAAUUGAUCAUUUAUAUCAUUUAAUGAAAUACAUACAUGACAUUACUUGAUCAUGUAUAAUCUCAUACUUCAUAUUUUUAUAUCAGACCUAAAACACAGCAAUUAUAUAUUUCAACUUUUUAGAAUUAACAGCUAAUUUAAAAAUGUUCUUGAACAUCAAAUUUUCAAUAAUUUACACAUUUGAGUAGUUAAUGAAUUACUUUUUCCAUAGAAUUUGUGGUAAAUUUAUAAAAUGAAGAUGAAAUUCUGAACUAUGCUGUAAAGUGUUUUAACAAGUCAAUGUAAAUUUUCAUGUGGCCAAACACAAUUUGUAUGUGAAUAUUGAAAAAUAUUCUUUCAACUUUUGAAGAAACUAAAAUAACAAUUGAAAUUUUAUUUUUUAUCAGGCGCGGAUCCAGGGGGGGGGGGGGGUUCAUUUUUUUUGCGAAAUGCAUUUCCCCCCCCCCCCUUUGUCCUGGGUUAGGACCCCCCCUUUUUAAAAUGACUGGAUCUGCCCCUGUUCAUGCAAAUUGCAUUUUCAUGCAGGUUUUACAGGAACUAUAUACUUUCAUAGUACAUGCACAUUGUAUUAUGCUUUUAUAUCUAAUAUAUAAUCUCAUUCAUGGUUCCAAUUUGCCUUAACUGUUGAAAAAAUCAUUAGUUUUUGGACUUUAUAUAAUUGCUAAUUACUAUAUCCACUUGCUUUUACUAUCUCAAGCAUAAUGAUGUAUCAACUUUUGAUUUAUACUUUUUCAGUUCAACAUUUUAGUAUUUUAAAAUUUGGGCAAAUAUAAAUCCUUGUAAAAUUAAUGGUGUCAGAAAUUUCAAGAACAAGAUCACUUGUGUAUAAAAAAAAAUUGAUAACAACAAAUUUAAAAGAUGUGAAACCGUGAAAUUUGAGAGAAAAUUUUUUUGACAAUAAAUACAAUUUACUAGAAAUAAGGUUCAGGUCCAUUUUAUAUGAUGUCAGUAUCUGUAAUAUGCAAAGAACAGUGAAACCAUGAGUAAACUGGACAACUGCCUAAACUGAAAUCGACUUUAGAUAGGGUUUACUGUUUGUGGUAAAAAACCAUACAUUGUUUUUAUGUUGUACAAAAUAUAUCAUGCAUUUACCAGAAUAAAUUGUUGUAUAAUUUCUUGCAUAAUAACACCACAGAUAAAUUUUGUAGAACUGUGGAGGUUGCAUGUUUGUGUGAAUUAUCAGUGUCAAGCACUUUGUGAUUAUUAUAAUUAGGUCACCAUUUUCUGUAUGACAUCUCGUCUUUAUACUGAUAUUUGUUUUAUGUGGUAGUAUUGUUUCUUGACAUUCCUGUAGACUUCCAACAAACAGAACACAAAUGAUCUGUAGUUUUUAUACGACCGCAAAAUUUGAAAAAUUUUUCGUCGUAUAUUGCUAUCACGUUGGCGUCGUCGUCGUCGUCGUCGUCGUCCGAAUACUUUUAGUUUUCGCACUCUAACUUUAGUAAAAGUGAAUGGAAAUCUAUGAAGGUUAUGAACAAAAGGAAGGUUGGUAUUGAUUUUGGAGUUUUGGUCCCAACAUUUUAGGAAUUAGGGGCCAAAAAGGGCCCAAAUAAGCUUUUCUUGGUUUUCGCACUAUAACUUUAGUUUAAAUUAAUAAUCUAUGAAAUUUUGACACAAGGUUUAUGACCACAAAAAACGGUUGGGAUUGAUUUUGGGAGUUUUGGUUUCAACAGUUUAGAAUUAGGGGCCAAAAAAGGGCCCAAAUAAGCAUAUUCUUGGUUUUCGCACAAUAACUUUAGUUUAAGUAAAUAGAAAUCAAUGAAAUUUUAAACACAAUGUUAAUGACUACAAAAGGAAGGUUGGAUUGAUUUGGAGUUAAGGUCAACAGUUUGAAUUAAGGGGCCAAAAAGGACCCAAAUAAGCAUUUUUUUGGUUUUCGCACCAUAACGUAGUAUAAGUAAAUAGAAAUCUAUGAAAUUUAAACCAAGGUUUAUGACCAUAAAAGAAGGUUGGUAUUGAUUUUGGGAGUUUUGGUCCCAACAGAAUAAGGGGCCCAAAGGGUCCAAAAUUAAACUUUUGUUGAUUCAUCAAAAUUGAAUAAUUGGGGUUCUUUGAUAUGCCGAAUCUAACUGUAUGACUGUGUAUGUAGAUUCUUAACUUUUGGUCCCGUUUUCAAAUUGGUCUACAUUAAGGUCCAAAGGGUCCAAAAUUAAACUUAGUUUGAUUUUGACAAAAAAUGAAUCAGUUAGGUUCUUUGAUAUGCUGAAUUUAAAAAUGUACUUAGAUUCUUGAUUAUUGGCCCAGUUUUCAAGUUGGUCCAAAUCGGGUCCAAAUUAAACUUUGUUUGAUUUCAUCAAAAAUUUAAUAAAUGGGUUCUUGAUAUACCAAAUCUAACUGUGUAUGUAGAUUCUUCAUUUUGGUCCUGUUUUCAAAUUGUCUACCUAAGUCCAAAGGUCCAAAAUUAAACUUAGUCUGAUUCAACAAAAAUUAAUUUGGUUCUUUGAUAUGCUGAAUCCAAAAAUGUACUUAAAUUUUUUAUUAUGGGCCCAGUUUUUCAAGUUGGUCCAAUCAAAUCAGGGAUCUAAAAUUAUUAUAUUAAGUAUUGUGCAAUAGCAAGUCUUUUCAAUUGCACAGUAUUGCGCAAUGGGCAAGAAAUAUCUAAUUGCACAAUAUUGUGAAAUGCAAAUUUUUUUUAAUUAGAGUUAUCUUUCUUUGUCCAGAAAAAGUAAGCAAGAAAUAUCUAAUUGCAAAAUAUUGUGCAAUAGCAAGAUUUUUUUUUAAUUGGAGUUAUCUUUCUUUGUCCAGAAUCAACUUAAAUCUUUGUUAUAUACAAUAUACAAUUAUAUAACUUUUUACUACAACUGAUAAAUUAAAAUAAUCUUUACCAUUCAGUGAUAAGGCCAAUUAAAAUUAAUGAUAGAUUUUCAUCCCACCGCCCAUGAAAUCGGCCCGCCCCGAAUUUUUUAUUUCAUAAAAUUUACGAUUUCCGGAUUUUGUACAUUUCCGUUCCGGUACCCGUUAAAAUUUCGUUUCAUUCAAAGCUACCUGUUUUAAAUUGGUUUUGUACCUCGAGUAAAUUCUAACCAAAAUGAUUAAGUCGACAUAUUCUGCUGCUCUAUGAUGACAACAUCAUCUUCCCAGAGUAAAGAUUGAUUUACGAGAAUGACAUGAAAUAUUCAUGUUACAAGAAACACUCUGUUUCCAAGACCGCAAAUCACGGUAUGUCACAAAUUUCUGUGAUUAGAAAACUGCGGAUUUUUUUAUUUAUGCAAUGGCUUUGUGUCAGGAAAUUUAAACCGUGAAUGAUAUCCAAAGCGCCAGAUUCGUGGAAACCAUUGAUACAGAAAACAUGACUGGAUUAAAGAUAUUGAAACACAAGCACAAACUUGUUAGAUUUAUGACCGUAUUUUUGAAUUUAAAAAGUUGACUAACAUACGCAUUUAUUUUUAUGUUGACAAACAGCAAAUGUCCCAAUACACAUAAAAAAGUCAUUAAACAACAACUUUUUUUUUUUAUGAAGUUCAAGUUUUACAUAGUAAUUAUAUUUUCAUCUUGCAUAAGUACCAACCCAAUUAUUUCACACUGUUCGAGUUUCAUUUUAUUCUGUACUCAUAAUAAAUGUGUUGCAUACCAAUGCAUUUGCUUCAUUUAAUGGAAUACAAACCAUCGUUUGAAACCCUAAUACAUUUAGUGAAGUAGUCCACUGUAGAGAGCAUUUCUCACACGUUUUUUGUUGUUUAGUUUUUAAAGCCGCAAUUAGAUAGUAUUAUUUUAAGAUUUGAAAAAAUUAUGUAAGAUUCCUCAUACUUGUGUAUACAUGAUAUAAGCUUAUAUCAUUACACUUGCAUAUAUGAAGAACUCGUCACGAAAAGGUUUCAUAUGAAAUAAAAUUUAAAAAAUAAAAUCCUCCCCCCACCCAUUUUUUUCAAAAAUUUGGAUGAAAAUCUACUAAUUAAUUUUAGUUGGCCUAACAAGCAGUUUUUUUACAUCUUAAUAUUUUAUGAUGUAUUUAAAUGAGUAGUUAUUGUUGCAAACUCCAUUAGAAAUUUUAAUUGAGAAUUAGUUUUGAAUAAGGAAAGGGGGAUGUGAUUAAAAAAAUUGGGAUCAAUUUUUCUCAUUUGAAAUUUCAUAAAUAAAAAAGAAAAUUUCUUCAAACAUUUUUUUGAGAGGAUUAAUAUUCAACAGCAUAGUGAAUUGCUCUAAGAGAAAACAAAAAUUUUAAGUUCAUUAGAACACAUUCAUUCUGUGUCAGAAACCUAUGCUGUGUCAACUAUUUAAUCACAAUCCAAAUUUAGAGCUGAAUCCAGCUGAAUGUUGUCCUACUUGCCCCAACCGUUCAGGGUUCAACCUCUGCGGUCGUAUAAAGCUACGCCCUGCGGAGCAUCUGGUUAUAUGUUUAAAUGAGUAAGCAUUUAUAUCAGGAAUUAACUUGAUCCCUAUUUCUGCUAAAGAUAUUUCUAUUAUACAAUUACUCUGAUUUUUUUUCAAAUGUCAAAUUAGUAAUCAAGGAUUUUUUUUAUCAUUUAAAAAGUUAUUUAAAUUUAUUAACUAUUUAGGUCUAAAUUAUGUUUUCCUAUAAAUAAAACCUUUGAGAUGAUACAGUCUUAAUUACGGCAAUAUUGCAGAAUGCAAAUUUUUCAUGAAAAUAGCGCAAAGUUACAAUAUAAUAGAUCUAUUCAAGUUUGCUUAACAAUUACUGAAAAAAUUCCAGUUUGGUUGUAAGCACUGCUGUUACAUAUAUUGAUAUUUAUCUAACUGCGAAAAGUUAAGAUAUUUUUAAAAACUUAUUAUGCAAGAUCCUUUCAUGAAAAUAUUGGGUCCAAUACCUUUAACAUACAGAUCAUUUAAUUAUGGCAAAUUUAGAUUACAAGUAAAAUGGUAAUGCAUCAAAACACAGACAUGUUUCCAUGACAAUAUUAAAUCCAAUGGAUGAAUCUGAUAUUUUUGAGACAUUUGUUUCCACAACAAAUAAAAAAAAAUCAUUAUCA
rnacentral:lncRNA from 1 species